rnacentral:rRNA from 1 species
AGUGAACGCUGGCGGUAGGCCUAACACAUGCAAGUCGAACGGCAGCACAGUAAGAGCUUGCUCUUACGGGUGGCGAGUGGCGGACGGGUGAGGAAUACAUCGGAAUCUACUUUUUCGUGGGGGAUAACGUAGGGAAACUAACGCUAAUACCUCAUACGACCUACGGGUGAAAGCAGGGGAUCUUCGGACCUUGCGCGAUUGAAUGAGCCGAUGUCGGAUUAGCUAGUUGGCGGGGUAAAGGCCCACCAAGGCGACGAUCCGUAGCUGGUCUGAGAGGAUGAUCAGCCACACUAGAACUGAGACACGGUCCAGACUCCUACGGGAGGCAGCAGUGGGGAAUAUUGGACAAUGGGCGCAAGCCUGAUCCAGCCAUACCGCGUGGGUGAAGAAGGCCUUCGGGUUGUAAAGCCCUUUUGUUGGGAAAGAAAAGCAGCAGGUUAAUACCCCGCUGUUCUGACGGUACCCAAAGAAUAAGCACCGGCUAACUUCGUG